UGAGGAAUUUUGCGCAAUGGGGGAAACCCUGACGCAGCAACGCCGCGUGAGCGAAGAAGGCCCUCGGGUCGUAAAGCUCUGUCAAGUGGGAAAAAAAUCUUUUGAUCAAUAGUCAAAAGACUUGAUGGUACCACUGGAGGAAGCACCGGCUAACUCCGUGCCAGCAGCCGCGGUAAUACGGAGGGUGCAAGCGUUGUUCGGAAUUACUGGGCGUAAAGAGCGUGUAGGCGGUUUGACAAGUCAGAUGUGAAAGCCCUGGGCUUAACCCGGGAAGUGCAUUUGAAACUGUUUCACUAGAGUAUGGGAGAGGAUAGUGGAAUUUCCGGUGUAGCGGUGAAAUGCGUAGAUAUCGGAAGGAACACCAGUGGCGAAGGCGACUAUCUGGUCAGAUACUGACACUGAGGCACGAAAGCGUGGGUAGCAAACAGG
rnacentral:rRNA from 1 species